CCUACGGGAGGCAGCAGUGGGGGAUAUUGGACAAUGGGGGAAACCCUGAUCCAGCGACGCCGCGUGAGUGAAGAAGUAUUUCGGUAUGUAAAGCUCUAUCAGCAGGGAAGAAAGACAUGACGGUACCUGAGUACGAAGCCCCGGCUAACUACGUGCCAGCAGCCGCGGUAAUACGUAGGGGGCAAGCGUUAUCCGGAAUUACUGGGUGUAAAGGGAGCGUAGACGGUAAUGCAAGUCUGGAGUGAAAGGCGGGGGCCCAACCCCCGGACUGCUCUGGAAACUGUGUAACUGGAGUGCAGGAGAGGCAGGCGGAAUUCCUAGUGUAGCGGUGAAAUGCGUAGAUAUUAGGAGGAACACCAGUGGCGAAGGCGGCCUGCUGGACUGUAACUGACGUUGAGGCUCGAAAGCGUGGGGAGCAAACAGGAGUAGAUACCCCAGUAGUC
rnacentral:rRNA from 1 species